rnacentral:rRNA from 1 species
GCAGGCCUAAUACAUGCAAGUCGAACGGUAACAGGCCGCAAGGUGCUGACGAGUGGCGAACGGGUGAGUAAUACAUCGGAACGUGCCCGAUCGUGGGGGAUAACGCAGCGAAAGCUGUGCUAAUACCGCAUACGAUCUACGGAUGAAAGCGGGGGAUCGCGAGACCUCGCGCGGACGGAGCGGCCGAUGGCAGAUUAGGUAGUUGGUGGGGUAAAGGCCUACCAAGCCGACGAUCUGUAGCUGGUCUGAGAGGACGACCAGCCACACUGGGACUGAGACACGGCCCAGACUCCUACGGGAGGCAGCAGUGGGGAAUUUUGGACAAUGGGCGCAAGCCUGAUCCAGCCAUGCCGCGUGCAGGAUGAAGGCCUUCGGGUUGUAAACUGCUUUUGUACGGAACGAAAAGGUUUCUUUUAAUACAGGGAACUGAUGACGGUACCGUAAGAAUAAGCACCGGCUAACUACGUGCCAGCAGCCGCGGUAAUACGUAGGGUGCGAGCGUUAAUCGGAAUUACUGGGCGUAAAGCGUGCGCAGGCGGUAAUGUAAGACAGAGGUGAAAUCCCCGGGCUCAACCUGGGAACUGCCUUUGUGACUGCAUUGCUGGAGUGCGGCAGAGGGGGAUGGAAUUCCGCGUGUAGCAGUGAAAUGCGUAGAUAUGCGGAGGAACACCGAUGGCGAAGGCAAUCCCCUGGGCCUGCACUGACGCUCAUGCACGAAAGCGUGGGGAGCAAACAGGGUUAGAUACCCUGGUAGUCCACG